AUGGUUUUUAUAGCACCUCUUCGCCAGAUGUCAUCGGGGAGUGUUCCUGGCUCUUCUGGAGAGACCAUGAUGUACUAUCUCCUUGCUGGUGUUGCUGCUUUUGGUGGUUUAUUUUAUGCCUACAGAGUAGUCAGUUCAUCCCGCAGCAAAUAUAUUGAACAUAUGAAUAUUCUUCACGAGAGAGCUGAGGGGCGGAGGUCACGCAGGGCCUAAAAUACAAGGGAAAUCUCUUUCCAAACCCGAGGAAGUUAAAUACAAACAAAGGACAGUCGUUCACCAUUGCGUACCUUGCAGCCUACCUUGGGAUGACUUUAUACCUUCUAUUGUAAAACUCCACACUUGUGAGACUUUAAAAGAACUACCUAUGUUUGCAAGGCCAAACCAUAUUGAGCUUAUUACUGAAUCUGCUUUUGUAGAAGGCAGUUCUGAGAUUGAGAAGCUGGCUGUUCUGAAUGAAUGCACUCUAUAUUUGACUGUCCAAUAAAGUGUUCUGAAUGCUGAGCUUGGCUGUUAGU
rnacentral:lncRNA from 1 species